rnacentral:rRNA from 1 species
GAUGAACGCUGGCGGCGUGCCUAAUACAUGCAAGUCGAGCGAACAGAUGAGGAGCUUGCUCCUCUGACGUUAGCGGCGGACGGGUGAGUAACACGUGGAUAACCUACCUAUAAGACUGGGAUAACUUCGGGAAACCGGAGCUAAUACCGGAUAAUAUAUUGAACCGCAUGGUUCAAUAGUGAAAGACGGUUUUGCUGUCACUUAUAGAUGGAUCCGCGCCGCAUUAGCUAGUUGGUAAGGUAACGGCUUACCAAGGCAACGAUGCGUAGCCGACCUGAGAGGGUGAUCGGCCACACUGGAACUGAGACACGGUCCAGACUCCUACGGGAGGCAGCAGUAGGGAAUCUUCCGCAAUGGGCGAAAGCCUGACGGGGCAACGCCGCGUGAGUGAUGAAGGUCUUCGGAUCGUAAAACUCCGUUAUUAGGGAAGAACAAAUGUGUAAGUAACUAUGCACGUCUUGACGGUACCUAAUCAGAAAGCCACGGCUAACUACGUG